rnacentral:rRNA from 1 species
GUAGUAGUAGUAGUAGUAGUAGUAAAGGUCGUCGAAAGCGGUGGUGGUGGCUUUGAACGGGGCGUAUUCGUUGCAUCCUCUUCUGAUCCCGUUUGGCGUAAAAAGAGUAAAUGGGGGGAGUUCGCUGUAGGAGGCGGUUUGCUGGCGUGAGACUGGUGGCGGGUACCUUUAGCGCACAUACCAGGACCCGAAAGAUGGUGAUCUAUGCGUGGCGAGGAUGAAGCCAGGGGAAACCCUGGUGGAAGUCCGUAGCGAUUCUGACGUGCAAAUCGAU